rnacentral:rRNA from 1 species
UACGUAGGGUGCAAGCGUUGUCCGGAAUUGUUGGGCGUAAAGAGCUCGUAGGCGGCUUGUCACGUCUGCUGUGAAAACUCGGGGCUCAACCCCGAGCCUGCAGUGGAUACGGGCUAGCUAGAGUGCGGUAGGGGAGGACUGGAAUUCCUGGUGUAGCGGUGAAAUGCGCAGAUAUCAGGAGGAACACCGGUGGCGAAGGCGGGUCUCUGGACCGAUACUGACGCUGAGGAGCGAAAGCGUGGGGAGCGAACAGG